rnacentral:lncRNA from 1 species
CUAGAUAUAAUUUUUGUCUCUUUGACAUAUUCCUCAUUUCCAUUCUCAAAAUUAUUACACAUUAUGUAAGUUACAAACAUGUGUGAGUUUCAAUAUUUGUACAAAAAUAAAUGCUGAAAAAAGUAUUCCAUAACAAAUAAACAGCUACGCCAUGAGUGCAUGAUACGCCCGUCAUCUUUUUGAAAUAUUCGAUAACUUCUCAAUGUCAUAUCGGAUAUUUAUAAAAAAAAAUCAGUCAAUAUAUAUCAUGUAUAUAAACAAUACAUCAAAGUUUCAUGAGAACUUUGCAGAGAACAUUUUUGAGUUAUUGUCCGAAAACUGGAAAAUACCAUCUUUUUUAAUGAAUAAACCCCUUAACUGAAUAACAUUAAAUCGGAAAUAAAAAAAAUUGAAAAGGGCGCUUACAACAAUAGAUAUAAACAAUUCAGCAAAGUUUCAUGAGAACUGCUGAAAAUGUUUUUGUGUUAAUGUUCGUAGAAA